rnacentral:rRNA from 1 species
CGGUGGAGCAUGUGGUUUAAUUCGAAGCAACGCGAGAACCUUACCAGGCCUUGACAUGCAGAGAACUUUCCAGAGAUGGAUUGGUGCCUUCGGGAACUCUGACACAGGUGCUGCAUGGCUGUCGUCAGCUCGUGCCGUGAGAUGUUGGGUUAAGUCCGUAACGAGCGCAACCCUUGUCCUUAGUUACCAGCACGUUAUGGUGGGCACUCUAAGGAGACUGCCGGUGACAAACCGGAGGAAGGUGGGGAUGACGUCAAGUCAUCAUGGCCCUUACGGCCUGGGCUACACACGUGCUACAAUGGUCGGUACAAAGGGUUGCCAAGCCGCGAGGUGGAGCUAAUCCCAUAAAACCGAUCGUAGUCCGGAUCGCAGUCUGCAACUCGACUGCGUGAAGUCGGAAUCGCUAGUAAUCGUGAAUCAGAAUGUCACGGUGAAUACGUUCCCGGGCCUU